rnacentral:lncRNA from 1 species
CGGCACCGGAAGACAAUCACCCGUAGAAGGAGAGAUCAACGGAGAGGGUGUAUCUUCAAGCCUUGCCUAGUUUUCGGGCCUUUCAUCAGUGCCAAUUUAAAUUUCCCAGCUUUCCAGUGGCCAGGUUAUCGGAAAAAAACUUGAGACCGGAAUUGCCCGUCUGCUCAGCCAAACAGGGUGAGAGGAUUCUAUGACAACUGGUACAGUAUUUCUUAAUACUUGCUGGGCAUGGUGGCGCACGCCUGUAAUCCCAGCACUAGGGAGGCGGAGGCAGGAGGACUGCCGCGAGUUGGAGGCUAGCCUGGGCUACAUAGUGAAUUCAGAGCCAGACUGAACUACAAAGCGAGACCCUGCCUCAAAAAAAAAAAAAAAAUCUCAAGGCUUUUCCAGAUAACAGAACCAGCCAGAGAUACACUAUUGAUCACUGUUGAGGUCUUCACCAACAGAACACUUCUAAGGUUUAUCUGCCUUCCAUCGCUCCUACGACCAGUUUAUUCUUUAUCAAGAAGACAAUCCUGGGCCGGGGAUUUAGCUCCGUGGUUUCGCUGCCUGCUGCGCAAGCUCAAGGACCAGAGUUCGAUCCCCGGUACCAAAAAAAGGAAGAAGACAAUCCAGUGUCCUCGGAGACAAGGAGUUAAUCAUGACCUCGCAAAAUUAUGUAAUUUUGGUUUUCGUUCUUAAAACUCUGUAUACCCUAACCAUGGCUCAGAUACUAUUGUCCCAAAAGGGCAAAACCUGGGACAGUUUCUUAAAUUCAAGUAGCUAGUUUGGAGAGAAGAGGUUUAUUGGGAAGAGGGAGCAUAAGACUUGUUGAAUUAUUUGCCUCACUUUCAGUUGUUUUAUUACAUCUUCCCAAAAUGACAAAAUUUGUCAUAAAAAUAAAUUCUACCCUUUGAUUUAGUAAUCUCAGUCCCAGAAAUUUAUCCUAAAGACAUAAUCUAAAAGAAAAAGUGCUAACACCUCAACUGACAACAGUGCCUAUUUGGAAUAUUGGAAAAACGUAGAAACUCCCCAGUCUGAUCUAUCAAAAUUCAACAGAUUAUGAACCGAACAGGAUUAUUACUUUAAAAACUUACUUGCAAGAAAAAAAUGUCACAUAAAGUUAAAUGAAAAAAAAAGCAGACUCCAAAUUGGAUGUUAGAAAUUCAGUAAUGUGAAAAUAUAUGACUAAGCAAAGAUGAAGAAGUAAUUUACUGUUACAAUGAGAU